rnacentral:rRNA from 1 species
UACGUAGGGCGCAAGCGUUGUCCGGAAUCAUUGGGCGUAAAGAGCUCGUAGGCGGCCUGUCGCGUCCGCUGUGAAAUCCCGGGGCUUAACCCCGGGCGUGCAGUGGAUACGGGCUGGCUGGAAGCAGGCAGGGGAGAACGGAAUUCCCGGUGUAGCGGUGAAAUGCGCAGAUAUCGGGAGGAACACCGGUGGCGAAGGCGGUUCUCUGGGCCUGUACUGACGCUGAGGAGCGAAAGCGUGGGGAGCGAACAGG